GCUGUGCUGUGAGGAGGAAAGGACCAGGAGGGCAUGUGAGGGACAGAGAGGGUAAGAUGCCAUGCAUGGGACAGACAGGGUUAGGUGGCCAUGACAGGGACAGGAAGGAGUGAGCCAGAACUGCAGAAGGAAGAGAGAAGAAGGAGAGAAAGAGCCAAAGCUGUGUGGAACUGUCCAUGGGAGGUUACACAGAUAAGCAUGCCCAGAAGAAGCACUACACCCAAUUCACCAGAAGAGAAUUGCUGUGGAGACAGAUGAGGUGGAGUGACUAAGGUCACCCAAGGGCUGUGUCUAAGAAAGGAGCUGAACCUGGAGGGCUCCCAGCAGGGAUUGAGUGCAGUGUAGGCUCUGGAUGUACCUGGUUGCAAUUGAAGGACAAGGAUUUCACCCACUGCCAUGUGCAUCGCUUACUGGGAAAGGCACAGCAUGCCCACAGCUGGGCCAGAUGUGCAGCUGAUUUCUUCAUUUGCCUUUUUGGUUCCUAUUCUCAUGUUGAUCCAUAUCAGUCCAGCCCUGCAAAACUGACUUUUCUUACUGCUCCCAGAAAUACCAUUUUGCAAUGAUUUUUUCCAUUUCUAGAGUGGGUCAGAUUGUCGUGGCCAGUGUCCCUGUUGUGGUGUCUAAGUGAAUUAGGGAGGUGGCACGGGGCUGAAGCAGAACAGCAUGGCCAGAGGUCUGCCACCAGCACCAGAAACUUUGAGGGUGUUCCCCAGAAGGCACCUUGCGGGUAGGAACCCAAGCAGAUUCUUAAGUAAAUGUUCCCACAAGGAACUCUUCUAGAAAAGCUGAAAUGGAACUUGAACCAAAAGUGCAUGAAAUUACCACAGGAUCCCAGAAUGGUUUAGGCUUGAAGGGACCUUAAAGACCCUCUUGUUCACCCCCUACCAUGGGCAGGCACACCUGCCACUUCACCAGGUCAUUUAAACACUUGACCUUGCUUCAAACACUGUUAGAAGAAAGUCUCUUUGGCCAAAAUCUAGAUAUAUUCCUGCACUCCAGUAACCCUGGCUGCUGUCACCCUCCUGGAGAUGACUUCAUUCCACCAGAUUCCUCAGCCCAGGCUCUGUGCCUCAAAAGCAAUUGUUUGUGCUGUGGCUGGGAAACGUGUAUCAUCACAGUUGCCUUUUUUCCCGCUGCAGAGUAAUUAAUAGGUAUUUCUUGUGGAGGGCAGUCAAUUCUCAUUACACUGGGCUUUCACAAAGCUGGUUUGUUUGGGCUUUUUUCUCAGAAGUGGAAUAUCCAAGAGACACUUUGUGCUAAGGCUGAAGUCUCUGUGUCACAAUUGCUCUCUUUGAGCUGUGAGAGUGUGAAGGCAGCACUCAGAGGCAAAUUGAAGGCUAAUUUUAUGUUGAGGGAGACAGCCACAGGUUCAGAACUCUCUGCUGGUGUAAAAUUAAUGCAGUAAUUUUACUGCAAACUUUUCCAUGCAGGUCUGUGUCAGCUGCUGUGAGACUGUGAGCCAAGGGCUGAGGCAGGAGCAUGGCAGAGUAGAGGUUGGAAGGCACCAGCUUUUUGUUAAUGCAAGAUCGUAGAAUCCUGGAAUGGUUUGGGUUGGAAGGGAUCUUAAAGACCAUCUCAUUCGACCUCUCCCAUGGGCAGGGACACCUUCCACUGUCCCAGGCUGCUCCAAGCCCCAGUGUCCAACCUGGCCUUGGGCACUGCCAGGGAUCCAGGGGCAGCCACAGCUGCUCUGGGCACCCUGUGCCAGGGCCUGCCCACCCUCAGCAUAAAAACCUUCUUCCUAAUAUCCAGUCCAAAUCAACUCUCUGUUAGUACCAAAUCAUUGUUCUACCACAAGAGGCCCUGCUAAAAUGUUUGUCCCAUUCUUUCUCCUAGACACUGAUGCCUUGGGAAGGGUGACCUGGAACAGAGACUGAACAGAGCUAGAGAAUAAAGUAGCUAUUUAUUGAAAGGCCUUUAGGAUACACCUUGGGCAGGACGAGAGCCUGACCAUGGCUACACCCAAGGUGGACUAAGAAUGGUCACAAAAUGGACAAAUGGUCACAAGGUCUCACACUUUUAUAAGUUUUGGUCCAUUUGCAUAUUGGGGUUUAAUUGUCCAAUUACAGCUUGAGGCUGUGAGGUCCCAUCCUUCUUGUUCCUCCCUCCAGCCACCGCUGUUUGUGCUGUUGGACCUGAAAGUUGUCCUUGGUCUCCAGUAGGAAAAGGAUUUGUUUUGUGUCCCUGCUCUAUGGAGACCGGAGUGACCCUGAAUGUGAGCUCAGAGCUGCACCCUGGGCAGCACAGAACCUGAAAAACAUGAAAGCUGAAACUUAAGGCAUCAAUACCUUUCAGUACUAAACAUCACUAUCAGAGCUCCCUGGGCCCUUCUCUUCUCCAGCCCAAGCAAUCCCAAUUUCCACUGCCCUGUGCCAGCUGUGGAGUUAGUAUUGCACGUUCACAGCAGCCAGCACUGAUCACUGUCCCAGCAGCCCUGCCUGCUCCUGUGCCCCUUAUAAAUACCUGCUCCAUCCUCAUCCGGUGGUGUGGGGCAGAGAGGGGCACUCUGCUCCCUGCACAGGUGCAGCACCAGCAGAACUGUGCUGGAGUCGAACAACAGGCUCCUGAGUUCCUUCCUGACUCUGUGGAUUUCACUGUACAAUACAGCACUGGAAGUCAUUAUUGUUACAAAGAAUCACUAAUUCAAUAAUGCCACUGCCCUGCAGGAAUAACAAGCACACGCUAUUAAUGCGCUUCCCCCCUCGCAUUCAUUGCAGAGCACAAAAGCCGUUCACAGAAUGCAAGAAGACUUGAAGCAAGGACACCAU